rnacentral:lncRNA from 1 species
CAAGAAAUGUGAUAAAGAAGAAAAGGCUGAAAAGACCAAGAUUAAAAAGAGCAAAGGUCUCGUUGCAUCUGUGCCAGAUAUAGCUCCUGGGUUUCUCCAGCUUGGGAAAGCAGCUUUAUUCUGAUUUUGCAGCCUAUGAAAAGAAACACCAAAGAAGUGAGCAAUACUUCCAGCUGAUAAGUCCCCAUUUGGUGGAAGAAAACCAAUUUCUGGGAUUCAACCAUUGUAAAUUAUCUGAAAGGACACUCCAGAUUUCUGCCCUGAUGGACAAAUGUGAACACCAGUUUGAAGCAUUUGAUGUUCAAACACAACAAAUGGAAGACACAGUGAGUAGCACUACAACACUAAAAAUGACCAAGUAAGAAUAGUUUCAAUACUUA